rnacentral:rRNA from 1 species
UACGGAGGGUGCAAGCGUUAUCCGGAUUCACUGGGUUUAAAGGGUGCGUAGGUGGGCUGGUAAGUCAGUGGUGAAAUCUCCGGGCUUAACCCGGAACUGCCGUUGAUACUAUCAGUCUUGAAUGUUGUGGAGGUAAGCGGAAUAUGUCAUGUAGCGGUGAAAUGCUUAGAUAUGACAUAGAACACCGAUAGCGAAGGCAGCUUGCUACACAAUUAUUACACUGAGGCUCGAAAGCGUGGGGAUCAAACCGGAGUUAAGAAAACCCUGGGUUAAGUACCCCAGU